rnacentral:lncRNA from 1 species
GCCCCUGGACUUUUCCUAGGUUUCGUGCUAAUCUCUCCUGUGAGCUCACUCUACCCUUCCUCCUCCUCCAACUCUGUGAGGUUGCCCCUUAAACGUGUCCAAAUGGCACCAGGAGAAAUGGA